UAAUAAACCCGGGUGUUUUGCAAUCAAAAGUGAUGCAACCUGGAUAGUGGAAUAAGUUGAUUACUGUAGGCACAAUUUUUGGCCACUUAAUAGUCAAAGGUCAUGCAUAAAUAAGAACAGUCUUUAAUAUUACCGCCUUACGGAGACUUUAUAUUAAUUGUGCUACUCGAGGAUCUAGAAGGUCCUAGAAGAACCAUAGGUCCCAUACUCGACUAGCAACAUAAUCAAGUUAGUUAUGUUAAUUCAUUAUAUAUAGGAUCAAUGUUAAAGGCAAGGUGGGCUAUAAGCUAUAAUCAUUUGUAUGGCUUAUAGAAGGCUAAUUGCCGUGAAUAAAUUGAAUAAUGAAUGUAGCACAAUAUUAAAUAGUUGCAUGAUGACGUCAAAGAAACUAGUCAGACUACAUUUGCAAGUUUUGCAACUCUCAUCGCUUAAAUUCCCCAUACCUGAAUACAAAAUAAACAGUAAACAACGAUUACCUUUUACAUACCAUAUAUAAAACGGAGUUUUCAUCCUUUCUAGAAACUCACUUCCUGAACUUUUGAGCGCAAAUGUAAUGUAUUAAAAAUGUAUAUCAUAUUCACAGCAGUUAAUACCAUUAAUAUAUCGCGGGCGCAAUACAAAACAAAACACGAGAAUUUUAAAAUGUUUUGAUUUGCAAAUAAAUAAAUAAUAUUUGAUGUCAUAAAAAUUUUUAAAUUUAACUCAACACAAACUGGUAAGUUCAUGACAUGUAUAAUUUACUUAUAUGUUGUUAUAUUGCAAUUCUGUACCCUACUCCUUUGAAAAUUGUUUGCAAUUGCAUAUGAUGUGAACAUGUGGUCAUGUAUUAUAGUUGUGUCAUGGAUUUAAUAAUACCCCAAUGGCUUCGAAAUAGACAAUGGAUGGAAAAAGUCAUGAAUAUUGAACUUAUUUACCCUUUAAACACUUGAUCGUCAUGCGCAUACAGUGUAUUGUUUGUUUCCAGAACCCCCUCAAGCAGACUUCAACUUUUUUUGUUAAAUUGUAUAUUUUGCUUCAUACACUGCAUGUGUGUGUGUUUGUGGGAACACUCAUGUUUGGAUGCUUGGCGUAGGUUAAUGGUAAUUUCAUUGGAGUCAUCAGGGAUAUAGUUGUAUAUUCCUGAAAUUACCUCUAAACACCUAAAACAGCAUUCCCUAAAAUUUUAAUUGUUUUCUUACAUUGCCCUAUAUCGCUCAAACUCGCAUUGCUUAAAUUGCAGAUUUUGCUUAAAUCACCUAAAUUUGCUUAAUUAAACUUGCAUUAUCUCGUUAUCGCCCCAGAGUAGGGCCUACUGUUGCCAUUGCUUUUUAGUCCCCAAUACUUCAGUGAGUCAUGCUUUGGAAAUGACAAUAAUUUUUUAUUACCCAACCCUUGAGUUGUUUUGUUUUUCAUUUACCCAACCUUUUACUUAGUCAAAAUUUAGUUUACCCAACCCUUUUCUCUUCGGUGCCACCCCCCACCAUAAAUAAUGACCGGUCCCUUACAACAUUUCGUAACGAAACUUUGGAAUAUUACUAAUUUUGAGAUGCUCUUUCAAGCUGUGAUGAAAUUUUUGUCUAGACUUGUCUAGAUCACAAUUUAGUCUAUAAUGCAAAUGGUCCAUUGACAAGUCCUUAUUUUAGGGGCUAAGCACAUUUUACUUUUUGACACUGAAUUACUUUAGCACCAGUGUAUUUCAAGAAAAGUAGACUGCACUUAAUCAAUCAUAGCUUACAGUCAAAUCUGGUGUUUCGUUGCCAGCAAUAUUGCAAUAUUGUCACACAUUGCAAUAUUGACCGGCUGAUUGCUCUAGCAAAUUGCAACCAACGCGGAUAAAUUGCAAUUUUUACUUGUUGACAAUUUGUGGAUUUCAAGUAUUUGAUUGGCUUGUUUUGUACUAGUAGCCAAUCGGGCUUUAUUUACAAAGUUGCUUCUGAAUCAUAUUAUAAACUUUUGAAUUUUGCAGUUGACGGUUUAAUACUGUUACCAUAUGUAAAAAUUGCAAUUUGUUUGCGUCGGUUGCAAUUUGCUAGAGCAAUCAGCUGAUCAAUGGAAUACCGGAUUAGACUAUAACAUGUAUGUCUUUCUUUGAAAAUAAAGUACAAUUUUUGAUCAUAUAAUCUCAGGUUUCUACAGAAAUUGUUCAUCUUGUCAAUAAUAAGAAAGCUGUGGAUACAACUACCUUUGCAGAUACAACUACCUGAAAAAUACAAGCAGAACUUCGUCGUUUCUGGCGAAGAUCCUUCGUCGUGAAGUUAGUAGCCAUUAAUCCUUGUAUUUUUCACGUAGUUGUAUCCCUAUCAAUCCCCAACUUUCUCAUUUCAAAACUAGUUUCAUAUUAUUCAGACAUUGCAGAGAACACUUUUCCUUGUA
rnacentral:lncRNA from 1 species